rnacentral:lncRNA from 1 species
AUAUUACUCAUUGUCACAGAAAAUAAUCACAAUUUUAUCCUUAAUCAAUUCAGAUAAUUUCCUAAACAGGGACCACCACAAGCGGAUCAACACGGGACUUACGCUCCUUCUGCCCUUAAACACCGCUUAUCACAGGCUGACCAAUCCGUUCACAGGAAAUUCAACCCGAACUAAGUCAGGACUAAAUCUGCGAUUAAUCACUGUUCCAACUCGUAACACCACUCGGUUCUCAAGCAGAAAAUGGCUCUGAUACCAUUUGCACCCAGGACGUACAACAGUUCGUGCACGCAAUAAUUAAAUAAUUAAAUCUGUCUAAUUAUCUCCAAGCAUAAAAACU